UCGCCUGUUUAUCAAAAACAUGUCCUUUAGAAUUAAUUUAAGGUCUGACCUGCCCAUUGAAAUUUUUAAAAGGCCGCAGUAUCUUAACUGUGCAAAGGUAGCAUAAUCAUUAGUCUUUUAAUUAGAGGCUUGUAUGAAUGGUUGGACGAGGCACUAACUGUUUCAUUUAAAUUAAUAUAGAAUUUUACUUUUUAGUUAAAAGGCUAAAAUAAUAUUAAAAGACGAGAAGACCCUAUAGAUCUUUAUAAUUAUUUGAAUUAUUAUUAUAUAGAUAUUUUAUGUUGUAAUUUAAAUUAAUUAUUUUGUUGGGGUGACAUUGAAAUUUUUAAAACUUUCAUUAAUUGUUAAAACAUUAAUUUAUGAUUAAUUGAUCCUUUACUAAAGAUUAAUAAACUAAGUUACCUUAGGGAUAACAGCGUAAUUUUUUUGGAGAGUUCAUAUCGAUAAAAAAGAUUGCGACCUCGAUGUUGGAUUAAGAGAUAGUAUUAGGCGUAGCUGUUUAGUACCAAAGUCUGUUCGACUUUUGAUUUCUUACAUGAUCUGAGUUCAAACCGGAGA
rnacentral:rRNA from 1 species